GACGAACGCUGGCGGCGUGCCUAAUACAUGCAAGUAGAACGCACAGUUUAUACCUUCGCUUGCUACACCAUAGACUGUGAGUUGCGAACGGGUGAGUAACGCGUAGGUAACCUGCCUGGUAUCGGGGGAUAACUAUUGGAAACGAUAGCUAAUACCGCAUAAUAUUGAUUAUUGCAUGAUACUUACUCGAAAGGUUCAAUUGCACCACUACCAGAUGGUCCUGCGUUGUAUUACCUAGUAGGGGGGGUAACGGCUCAUCUAGGCGGAGAUACAUAGCCGACCUGGGAGGGUGAUCGGCCACAAUGGGAAUUGGACACGGCCCCAGAUCCUACGGGAAGCAGCAGUUGGGGAUCUUCGGCAAUGGAGGAAAGGCUGGCCGAACAACGCCGCGUGGGUGGAGAAAGUUUUCGGAUCGGAAAGCUCUGUUGUAAGGGAAGAACGGGUGUGAGAGUGGAAAGUUCACACUGUGACGGUAUCUUAACAGAAAGGAACGGCUAACUACGUG
rnacentral:rRNA from 1 species